rnacentral:rRNA from 1 species
GGGGAAUAUUGGACAAUGGGGGCAACCCUGAUCCAGCCAUGCCGCGUGAGUGAUGAAGGCCUUCGGGUUGUAAAGCUCUUUUGGCGGGGACGAUGAUGACGGUACCCGCAGAAUAAGCCCCGGCUAACUUCGUGCCAGCAGCCGCGGUAAGACGAAGGGGGCAAGCGUUGUCCGGAAUUCCUGGGCGUAAAGGGCGCGUAGGCGGUUUGCUUAGUCAGGCGUGAAAGCCCUGGGCUUAACCUGGGAUGUGCGCUUGAUACUGGCAUGGUUGAGUGUUGGAGAGGUUGGUGGAAUUCCCAGUGUAGAGGUGAAAUUCGUAGAUAUUGGGAAGAGCACCGGUGGCGAAGGCGGCCAACUGGACCACAACUGACGCUGAGGCGCGAAAGCGUGGGGAGCAA